UUCCAAAAAGGUAUAGUUUGGACUAUCUAUGAUUGAAUUUUAUGGAGUUAUGAGGUAAAAACAGCAAAAAUGGUGACAAAGGUCAGUUUCAGUUUGUACAGGAGUCAAAAGUUAAAGCUGCUCCAAGUUUUGUAAAAUGUGAGGCAAAUUCUUGGUUGAGUUAAUACGGGUUUAAAAAGGAAUCGUUUGCACCAUGUGUCAUGCUCAGUUGUCACGUUACAGGGUAACAUCUCAUAUCAGAAUCAAUU